rnacentral:piRNA from 1 species
UGAGAGGCGCAUACAAACUUAAUUUUGUUCC